rnacentral:tRNA from 4 species
GGUCGCAUAGCUCAGCUGGGAGAGCAUCUGCCUUACAAGCAGGGGGUCAUAGGUUCGAGCCCUAUUGCGACCACCA